rfam:Neotoma lepida isolate 417 scaffold_8118, whole genome shotgun sequence.
UGGUGCCCAACCUUGAGGCUUGAGAACGUGGAGAAUUGGUGAACAUGGCGCACCAAAGCAGGCCUGCAUAUCAGUUGGACCAUCAUGGAGAAUGCUCCACAAGCAAAGGUCCAGUUCAGUGUUCGCCACUGGGAUGCCCGACCAUGAGACAGAUCUGGGGAGUUGAUUUGUGCCAACGCAAGUAAGUUUACCAUGGGACAAGCAUUUAGUAAGCAGAAUUUAUUUAUUUCAGGACUUAAACAGUCUCUCAAGACACGAGGAACAAGGGUUAAAAAGAAAGAUUUUAAAAAGUUUCUUGAUUAUAUUGGGGGACCUUUGUCCCU